rnacentral:rRNA from 1 species
UACGUAGGGGGCAAGCGUUAUCCGGAUUUAUUGGGCGUAAAGCGUGUGUAGGCGGUUUAUUAAGUCUAAGAUUAAAGCCCGAGGCUCAACCUCGGUUCGUCUUAGAAACUGGUAGACUUGAGUGUAGUAGAGGCAAGUGGAAUUUCUAGUGUAGCGGUUAAAUGCGUAGAUAUUAGAAGGAACACCAGUGGCGAAGGCGACUUGCUGGGCUAUUACUGACGCUGAGGCACGAAAGCGUGGGGAGCAAAUAGG